UGGAUUCUCUGGGCCUCACUGAGGAGCGACCCUUCUUGAAUGGUAUGCAGAAGUGAAACAGAGCUGCAAAGAAGGGCUACGAAAUAUGGUUUCCGACCUAUCACUCAUUUUACCAUGGAUGUCCUUGGAUUGGAGUUUUGCUGUGGCAGAGAACUUGCGUCAGAGCGGCAUCUUCUUGAGAUGAUCAGUCCCAUCAUGAUCAGUGAACACUGGCAGGCAAAGUGGAAGAAGAAAUUGGAGCAGCGAUAUGGCAAAUGGAGCAAGCACUUCAAGGCCUCUGCUCCUUGUGACUUGGUGAAGAGAGAUGAGGGCCGGGCAGGGACCGUGAAAGAGAUCCAGGCGAAGACAGCAAACAGACAGACGGAGCCUCUGCGGAAACCCCUGCUUGCAAGACCUGAGCAUCCUGGGACAUCAAGCUGCCUAUUGUUGGAAAACAGAGACAGAACAUGGACUUCUAGUGCUUGAUCUAGGACGCUUGACUGUAAGUAUAUUUCCAUUUUUUAAAACUUCAUGUGGCUUGGAA
rnacentral:lncRNA from 1 species